AGACAGCAGUCGCCGCGGGAAUACGAAGGGUGCAAGCGUUAAUCGGAAUUACUGGGCGUAAAGCGUGCGUAGGCGGUUUGUUAAGUCUGUUGUGAAAUCCCCGGGCUCAACCUGGGAAUGGCAAUGGAUACUGGCAAGCUAGAGUGUGUCAGAGGAUGGUGGAAUUCCCGGUGUAGCGGUGAAAUGCGUAGAGAUCGGGAGGAACAUCAGUGGCGGAGGCGGCCAUCUGGGACAACACUGACGCUGAGGCACGAAAGCGUGGGGAGCAAACAGGAUUAGAUACCCGUGUAGUCCCUGUCUCUUAUAC
rnacentral:rRNA from 1 species